GACAGAGGAUGCAAGCGUUAUCCGGAAUGAUUGGGCGUAAAGCGUCUGUAGGUGGCUUUUUAAGUCUGCCGUCAAAUCCCAGGGCUUAACCCUGGACAGGCGGUGGAAACUACCAAGCUGGAGUACGGUAGGGGCAGAGGGAAUUUCCGGUGGAGCGGUGAAAUGCGUAGAGAUCGGAAAGAACAUCAGUGGCGAAGGCGGCCUGCUGGGCUGGUUGCUGACGCUGAGGCGCGGACAGCGUGGGGAGCAAACAGG
rnacentral:rRNA from 1 species